CCUACGGGAGGCAGCAGUGGGGAAUUUUGGACAAUGGGCGAAAGCCUGAUCCAGCAAUGCCGCGUGCAGGAAGAAGGCCUUCGGGUUGUAAACUGCUUUUGUACGGAACGAAACGGUCUGCUUUAAUACAGUGGGCUAAUGACGGUACCGUAAUAAUAAGCACCGGCUAACUACGUGCCAGCAGCCGCGGUAAU
rnacentral:rRNA from 1 species